rnacentral:rRNA from 1 species
GAUGAACGCUAGCUACAGGCUUAACACAUGCAGGUCGAGGGGAAACGACAUCGAAAGCUUGCUUUUGAUGGGCGUCGACCGGCGCACGGGUGAGUAACGCGUAUCCAACCUGCCCACCACUUGGGGAUAACCUUGCGAAAGUAAGACUAAUACCCGAUGAUAUCUCUAUAAGACAUCUGAAAGGGAUUAAAGAUUUAUCGGUGAUGGAUGGGGAUGCGUCUGAUUAGCUUGUUGGCGGGGUAACGGCCCACCAAGGCGACGAUCAGUAGGGGUUCUGAGAGGAAGGUCCCCCACAUUGGAACUGAGACACGGUCCAAACUCCUACGGGAGGCAGCAGUGAGGAAUAUUGGUCAAUGGGCGAGAGCCUGAACCAGCCAAGUAGCGUGCAGGAUGACGGCCCUAUGGGUUGUAAACUGCUUUUAUAAGGGAAUAAAGUGAGUCUCGUGAGACUUUUUGCAUGUACCUUAUGAAUAAGGACCGGCUAAUUCCGUG